rnacentral:rRNA from 1 species
CCAGCCCUUUGACAUCCCGGUUCGCGNUUUUCCAGAGAUGAUUCUUUCAGUUCGGCUGGACCGGUGACAGGUGCUUGCAUGGCUGUCGACAGCUCGUGUCGUGAGAUGUUGGGUUAAGUCCCGCAACGAGCGCAACCCUCGCCCUUAGUUGCCAGCAUUCAGUUGGGCACUCUAAGGGGACUGCCGGUAUAAGCCGAGAGGAAGGUGGGGAUGACGUCAAGUCCUCAUGGCCCUUACGGGCUGGGCUACACACGUGCUACAAUGGUGGUGACAGUGGCAGCGAGACCGCGAGGUCGAGCUAAUCUCCAAAAGCCAUCUCAGUUCGGAUUGCACUCUGCAACUCGAGUGCAUGAAGUUGGAAUCGCUAGUAAUCGCAGAUCAGCAUGCUGCGGUGAAUACGUUCCCGGGCCUUGUACACACCGCCCGUCACACCAUGGGAGUUGGUUUUACCCGAAGGCGCUGCGCCAACCCGCAAGGGAAGCAGGCGACCACGGUAGGGUCAGCGACUGGGGUG